CAGUCGCCACGGUAAGACAGAGGUCCCGAGCGUUGUUCGGAUUCAUUGGGCGUAAAGGGUGUGUAGGAGGCCAGGUAAGUCAGGUGUGAAAUCUCAGAGCUUAACUCUGAAACUGCGCUUGAUACUGCUUGGCUAGAGGAUCGGAGGGGGUAACGGAAUUUAUGGUGUAGCAGUGAAAUGCGUAGAUAUCAUAAGGAACACCGGUGGCGGAGGCGGUUACCUGGAAGAUUCCUGACUCUGAAACACGAAAGCCAGGGGAGCAAACGGGAUUAGAUACCCGUGUAGUCCCUGUCUCUUAUAC
rnacentral:rRNA from 1 species